AGAGUUUGAUCCUGGCUCAGGACAAACGCUGGCGGCGUGCGUAACACAUGCAAGUCGGACGGACGGGUGGGCUUCGGCUCACGCGUUAGUGGCGGACGGGUGCGUAACACGUGGAUGACCUGCCUCGUGGUGGGGGAUAGCUCGCGGAAACGCGGGGUAAGACCGCAUGCGCUGUGGUGGAGCGAUCUACCACAGGAAAG
rnacentral:rRNA from 1 species